rnacentral:rRNA from 1 species
UACACUCCUACGGGAGGCAGCAGUGAGGAAUAUUGGCCAAUGGGUGGAAGCCUGAUCCAGCCAUCCCGCGUGCAGGAAGACGGCCCUAUGGGUUGUAAACUGCUUUUAUCUGGGGAUAAACCUACUUACGUGUAAGUAGCUGAAGGUACCAGAAGAAUAAGCACCGGCUAACUCCGUGCCAGCAGCCGCGGUAAUACGGAGGGUGCAAGCGUUAUCCGGAUUUAUUGGGUUUAAAGGGUCCGUAGGCGGACUGAUAAGUCAGUGGUGAAAUCCGACAGCUUAACUGUCGAACUGCCAUUGAUACUGUUAGUCUUGAGUAAGGUUGAAGUGGCUGGAAUAAGUAGUGUAGCGGUGAAAUGCAUAGAUAUUACUUAGAACACCAAUUGCGAAGGCAGGUCACUAAGUCUUAACUGACGCUGAUGGACGAAAGCGUGGGGAGCGAACAGGAUUAGAAACCCGGGUAGUCCC